rnacentral:rRNA from 1 species
AUUGAACGCUGGCGGCAUGCUUUACACAUGCAAGUCGAACGGGGUGGUGGGGCAACCCGCCAUUCAGUGGCGAACGGGUGAGUAAUGCAUCGGAACGUGUCCCGUAGUGGGGGAUAACCCGGCGAAAGCCGGACUAAUACCGCAUAUGCCCUACGGAGGAAAGCGGGGGACCUGAAAGGGCCUCGCGCUAUGGGAGCGGCCGAUGUCCGAUUAGCUUGUUGGUGGGGUAAUGGCCUACCAAGACGACGAUCGGUAGCUGGUCUGAGAGGAUGAUCAGCCACACUGGGACUGAGACACGGCCCAGACUCCUACGGGAGGCAGCAGUGGGGAAUUUUGGACAAUGGGGGCAACCCUGAUCCAGCCAUGCCGCGUGCGGGAAGAAGGCCUC